ensembl:lncRNA
GUACCAACAGAUGGCGCUCUCUGUCAUGUCUCUGACUCGGUCCUCCAUGCUGCCUGUGACUGAGAGCGUCUCACAGCACGCUGUUUGAUUCAAAGAAUAUGCAGUGCAUUUGGAGCUCACUCGGAUUCAGUUAACAAGGCGGCUCUGCAUGCAGUCAGUCAGGUGGAAAAGAUCCUGGAAAAGUUUGGAGAUCAAAUGAGAUGGAUGCAGACUUACAAGUGAACAGAAACACAGCCUACAACGCUCUUCCUUGGGCACAUUGGCUGCAUAAUCCACCUUUCCCUAAAGGCUUUGGCUCCCAUCACUGCCGCUGUCAUGCUGGGCUGCUAUAUCCAUCACUUAGUCAAUGAGAAGUAAUGACAGAGUACAGCAAAACAACAGCAGUCUGUCUGCGGGUUCCUGUUUGAAGGGAAACACACCAGGUUGCUAUGAGACAUGGCCCCAGUGGAGGGGGCCGCAGACACCGAGGCAUUCUGGGAUUCGAGACCGAUUUGGUGUUUAUGAUCAGGUGCUGACUGGAAACGAACGGGCUGCUUCUGUGGCAUUUUUUGAUGUAGUGAAUGUUGACAUAAUGUAACAGGGAUUUGAAUAUUCAUGAGCUUGAAAAAAAAAAAGGGGGCAGGGUUUUUGGAGAGAGGGGCUGCUGUGGAAACAGGAAGUUCUCAAUCAAAGCUGAGAGGAAACAUGUUGUGUGUGAGUGUGUGAGAAGAGAAAAAGUGAGUGAGAGUAAUGAUAAAGUGUUUGUCAAGGGUGAGCUGUUCGUUAUUCUGAUUUAUGUGUCAGACACAUUAAUGGUGGAAUGGCACGCAGUCGUUCUCCUCCUCCUCCAUCGCAAGCUACUAAUGGCC